ACUAAUUCAUUCCGGUUAACUCGCCGUUUUUCUCCGGCAAGAUUUUGGGUAUCUCUGCCCUUUGGAAGCGUUUUCCGGCGACAACGGAGGUCAUUUGGGCGAAGGAGCUGUACUUUCGUGAUGCACUCAUCGAGAGGAUCGUUUUGAUAUAUGACAUGCAUAUAUUCGUCGACGUUUCCGGUACCGCCACCAACCGCUAUAGGGCACCGCUUGGUUAAGGUUCCGGAACUUGAAAUUUUAAAUAUGGUCAUAUUAUAUGUCAUUGGACACGAUUUUGAAUAAGAAAUGCUAUGAUGAUAAUCGUUUGCUCAUUUGGUGCACGUAGGAAAAACGUGAUAUUAAAAUCGGACUAAAUCAUUCUAAAAUCAUCGAUAAGCUUAGGAGCGUUGCUUUGGGCUCGGAUUAAAUUUUAAGGAGGUAUCUAAAGAGGAGCCUAGUGACGCGAACGUGGAAAAGUGUGAAUUAUUGCUGAAGCCAAUGUGUUUAGUGCCAUAGUCCUAUCUUUUGAACAUUGUAUGUAUUUAAUUUGGAACCUAUCGAUUUGUACAUCUAAAUUAGCUAUGUCCUAGUUAGAAAUGAGGAAUGGUGGAUGCUAAGUAUUAUUUUGGGUAUUUUUUGACUUAUUAAAUUUAACUGUUUGGUGACUACAUAACUGUGGGGAUAUUAUUAUUCUAUGUAUUAAGAUAAAUGAUCCUACUUUUAUC